UUCUCUGUCCAAAACACACACAACUCUCAAUAAACAACAAUCAUAAUCUUCCAAUCAUAAUCAAUCUUCCAAUAACUUCUCAUAUAAUUCAAUCACAUAAUACUCCAAUUACAGAAUCAAUAACUUAUAAAUUAAUCUCUGAUUUAUUCCACACAUUCACUUCUCAGUAUUCAAAAACUAUCCAUUACUCUUCAAUAACAAAGAAAACAAAGAAAACAAAGAG
rnacentral:lncRNA from 1 species